GAAAAUUUCUUCCCUGUUUAUGUUUGAGAGAAUAAGGAGGAGGAAUUUUAAGACCUAUGCUAGGAAAAUUUAAUGAUUACCCAGUAUACAGCGUGAUUUGUCCAGUUAUUCAGGUUUGCUCCCCUGAGGGUCGUAAGGAUAAGAGGAUUUUGAUGGGCAUCGUUCCAAUAUCUACGACCAGUUGCAAUGCUAAGACCCAGCUCAUAUGUCGAGGUGCUGGAACAUGUCCAAUUGGCCGAAGAUCUUAUCUCAACCCAGCACCAAUGCAUUGUCUGAGUUCGUACCUAGCAAUAGUAACACCAACCCCAACAACCCAGAAAGAGACUGCCUGACCCAGUUAGUAGCCAUCCUAACAAGUGAUCCCGAGUUGCCCCUCCUCCUGUUUUGCCUCCACCUACAAGACACCUUAUCUAACCUACCCAACCAUGUUAGCAUUGCGGAUGUUUGCUUGGUGAUCAACCCUGUCG
rnacentral:lncRNA from 1 species